rnacentral:lncRNA from 1 species
AUCUUGUUUUGUCUGACUUAUAAAAUUUUGUUCGUUCAUAAAAUUUAUCGAUCAGCUUCGAUUAAAGUUUGUCAUUUUUCACUAAUUUCAUUGAGGAAUCCACAAAUUUAAUAAAAAGUGAGUGUACGUGACUUCAUUUUCGAAACACUGUCGGGCGCAAGUACUAACGUCCAUGCUCCCUGUGGCUAUUAAGCGCACGUUGAAGGAUUUAGGGACAAAAUAAUGCACUGCGUGCGCCGUAAGCAAAUUGAGAUCUAUAACUUAACAAAACACAAAAACAAUGCAAUCGACGUCGAGCGAACGUAGGAAUCUCCUGUUCGGAGAAAAGGUGAAUAAAAUGCGCGGUAGGUGACGGUCAAGAAAGUCUGGAAUUGGAACAAGUGGAUGAGUAUCUAAAAAGAACUAAGGAGUCGAUGCAAUGAAAAUGUGAGGAAAUGUGAUAGAAAACGCAGAUUUGAAGCAAAAGAUGUGCAUCUGGAAAGGAAGGUCUGCAUAAGGAUAUAUCUGUAUCUACUUUUCUGCCAGCAUUACAAUAUUUUUCCUUUUUAUAUGUUGACAAACUCUUUAAAUCUUAACAUGAGUUCAGCCAGGCAAACAAUAGAAAAACUGAAUGAUGACGGGACACGAAAUAUCCGAGGUUAUCGACCUGCCUG